AAACGUCACUAGCUCUGACAUGUAAAUGAUUACUUUUAAAAAUAACCAUUCACUAUACCCUUAAUUCCUUAAUGAUCCUAGUUAAGUAGCUUCGAUAAAUGAUGCUUUCUUUUGUUCGUGUCAUAACUAUCUCCGUGCUAUUUUAGUGGUCUAUCAUUAUUUCCCGCCAGUCAGAUUACGCCGUACCGAUCAAUAAGUAAGUUACAUCCUACCCAACCUGUAUAUUACCAUCCACUUUGUUCAUUUGUCAAUUACAACAGUAACAGAACUAGGCGAAUACAAGUUUGAGAAUAUCCUUUGACAGUUUGCAAUAUUAUGGAAUUUGUAAGACUCUGUAUAGUUGUUGGAUGUUUUGUGACGUAUGCAUUGGGACAAGAUGAUUCAGAAGAAAUAAGGAAUGAUUUCGUUUCGGUAACUAUUACUUUUUUCUUCCUAUUUUGAACUAAUCUUUUUUUUUCUUUUUUUCUUCAUCGAAUUGUUAUGAUUUAUGUUAUUUCUAUAUUUUUAGUGUAUGCUAUUGUAGUGUGAUCGUGUUCUCAGCUACGCUUUAACAAAGUUUUCAAUUGCAAAUGUCAAGUUGAACUUUGUUUUAGAACCCAAAGUCAAUAUUCUGACAAGGUUAACUUAUUACAUAAUUUUUUGUUUGUUAUUAAAACAGGACUGCAGCUGCGUCUAAAAUUUAAAAAAAAAAACUGAACCAC
rnacentral:lncRNA from 1 species